rnacentral:rRNA from 1 species
GUCCACGCCGUAAACGAUGGAUACUAGCUGUUGGGAGCAAUCUCAGUGGCUAAGCGAAAGUGAUAAGUAUCCCACCUGGGGAGUACGUUCUCAAGAAUGAAACUCAAAGGAAUUGACGGGGGCCCGCACAAGCGGUGGAGCAUGUGGUUUAAUUCGAUGAUACGCGAGGAACCUUACCAAGGCUUAAAUGUAGAUUGACCGUUUUGGAAACAGAACUUUCGCAAGACAAUUUACAAGGUGCUGCAUGGUUGUCGU